GGGUCAGCGACUUAUAUUCUGUAGCAAGGUUAACCGUAUAGGGGAGCCGGAGGGAAACCGAGUCUUAACCGGGCGUUAAGUUGCAGGGUAUAGACCCGAAACCCGGUGAUCUAGCCAUGGGCAGGUUGAAGGUUGGGUAACACUAACUGGAGGACCGAACCGACUAAUGUUGAAAAAUUAGCGGAUGACCUGUGGCUGGGGGUGAAAGGCCAAUCAAACCGGGAGAUAGCUGGUUCUCCCCGAAAGCUAUUUAGGUAGCGCCUCGUGAAUUCAUCUCCGGGGGUAGAGCACUGUUUCGGCUAGGGGGCCAUCCCGGCUUACCAACCCGAUGCAAACUGCGAAUACCGGAGAAUGUUAUCACGGGAGACACACGGCGGGUGCUAACGUCCGUCGUGAAGAGGGAAACAACCCAGACCGCCAGCUAAGGUCCCAAAGUCAUGGUUAAGUGGGAAACGAUGUGGGAAGGCCCAGACAGCCAGGAUGUUGGCUUAGAAGCAGCCAUCAUUUAAAGAAAGCGUAAUAGCUCACUGGUCGAGUCGGCCUGCGCGGAAGAUGUAACGGGGCUAAACCAUGCACCGAAGCUGCGGCAGCGACACUCAGGUGUUGUUGGGUAGGGGAGCGUUCUGUAAGCCUGCGAAGGUGUGUCGUGAGGC
rnacentral:rRNA from 1 species